rnacentral:lncRNA from 1 species
CCAAGAGGUUGUGAGUUCGAGUCACCCCACGAGCAAGGUGGGGAAUUCUUGGAGGGAAGGAUGCCGAGGGUCUAUUGGAAACAGCCUUUCUACCCCAUGGUAUGAGUAAGAUCUGCGUAUACACUACCUUCCCCAGACCCCACUAGCGGAAUUAUACUGGGUUGUUGUUAUGUAGAUAAGUAGUACACUGGGAGUAAUCUUUUAUUGGAAAAUAGGUGAGAACAAAGACACAAAGAAAAAGUAAAAGCAUUCUAAAAUAUCUAACAUGUACAGAAAAGAGACUUUUCUCUGUGCCUUUCUGCAACUAAGCUGUAAUUGACUUUUGAGGGACAAAGGCGAACACACAUAAUAUACAAUGUAAAAUCAAUAAUGGUGUCAGCGAGCAUUGGAGAGACGGAAGUGUUUGGCUAAAAAGUUACUCGAACACGUAUAUAGCUCUAAAAACAAUCAAAAAUAAUUUGAGUCAAUCAGAAUCAAAUGUAAUAUGGUCUAGAGAUUGUGGAAUGACUAAGGUAUAAGAACAAUAAGAUAAAUAGUAGAAUUAGCACAAGAGAGAUAGAGAGAAUAAGAUAGAGAGAAAGUUAUAUAUUAUAAGUAAUGAAAUACACAUGAGUCUUUUACAAAGGGAAGUUCCCCUUUAUAUACUAAGGGACCUUCCUCGAAAUAAUAUAAAGAAAGUACAAAAGUUGGUGGCCUCCAUAUACGAGUGUCAGAGCUUGAUGUGAUGUUGCAGUAAGUCAUGUCACUCAGUCCGUUUGUUGACUGGGUCGGCCUCACUAAGAGCGCUUUCUUUGGUGGGGCCGUAUGUGGAUAAUGUAUGUACGUGAGGAACCAAAUUUGCCCAAUACAGGAAGGAUGGGAAAUCAACAUAGGACAGGUAGUGCAUUUCAGAAACGAGUGGAGUUAGGAAUUUUCAUGGUGAAGGAUAUUUUUGAAAUUAUAAGAAAGUGUGAGGGAAUAGCAAUGUAAAUACUUGGUCAAAUUUAAAGAGCUUUUAACUAAAAGCACUUUUGGUGUUUGCCAAACAUCAAAACAAGUCGAAAAGUGCUUUUAAGCUGGUUUAACCAGUUUUUAAGCCAAUCUAAACACCCUCUAAAUGAAAGCCUGAUAAAAAACACUUGAUAAGCAUAGAAGGAAAGUCGGUGGAUACAGCACUGUACCAAAAGCUAGUUGGCAAACUUACCUAUCAAAUGCAUGGCAUGAUAUAGCAUUUGCUGCGAGUCAAAGUCAAUUAUGAAUUCACCCUAUGAAGAGAAUCUUGCCACAGUCUACCAUAUCCUGAUAUACUUGAAGAAUUCUCUGGGAAAAUACUAUAUUUCGGAAGAAAUGAACAUGUAUUGAAGCAUACAUACUGACUGAGCAGGACCCAUUUUGGGAAGAAAGUCCACAUUAGAUUAUUAUACAUUCAUAUGGAAAAACCUAGUAACUUGAAGAAGCAUAUAACAAAAUUAGCCUGCGUCAGUACUAAAGCAAAAUAUAGAUCUACGGCACAUGGAAUAUGUAAACUGGUGUGGCUUAAGUGAAUUUUGGAGGAACUAAGAAGACUAUGCCUAUGACAAGAGGGACUUGCUCUGAUGGUAAGCAACCCCACUUCCAACCAAGAGGUUGUGAGUUCAAGUCUCCCCAAGAGCAAAGGUGGGUAGUUCUUGGAGGGAAGGAUGCCGGGGGUCUAUUUGAAAACAGCCUCUCUACCCUAGGG